rnacentral:rRNA from 1 species
GAUGAACGCUGGCGGCGUGCUAAACACAUGCAAGUCGAACGAUGAACCGGGUGCUUGCACUCGGGGAUUAGUGGCGAACGGGUGAGUAACACGUGAGCAACCUGCCCCUGACUCUGGGAUAAGCGCUGGAAACGGCGUCUAAUACUGGAUAUGUCCCGUCACCGCAUGGUGUGCGGGUGGAAAGAUUUUUCGGUUGGGGAUGGGCUCGCGGCCUAUCAGCUUGUUGGUGAGGUAAUGGCUCACCAAGGCGUCGACGGGUAGCCGGCCUGAGAGGGUGACCGGCCCCGCUGGGACUGAGACACGGCCCAGACUCCUACGGGAGGCAGCAGUGGGGAAUAUUGCACAAUGGGCGGAAGCCUGAUGCAGCAACGCCGCGUGAGGGAUGGCGGCCUUCGGGUUGUAAACCUCUUUUAGCAGGGAAGAAGCGAGAGUGACGGUACCUGCAGAAAAAGCACCGGCUAACUACGUGCCAGCCGCCGCCGUAA